GACGAACCGUGCGAACGUUAUUCGGAAUCACUGGGCUUAAAGCGCGUGUAGGCGGGCCGGCACGUCGGUCGCUGAAAUCCCCCGGCUCAACCGGGGAAGGGGCGCCGAUACGACCGGCCUGGAGGGGGGUAGGGGGCGCCGGAACUCACGGUGGAGCGGUGAAAUGCGUUGAGAUCGUGAGGAACGCCCGUGGCGAAAGCGGGCGCCUGGACCCCGCCUGACGCUGAGACGCGAAAGCCAGGGGAGCGAACGGG
rnacentral:rRNA from 1 species